rnacentral:rRNA from 1 species
CAGCCGCCACGGUAAGACGAACCGUGCGAACGUUAUUCGGAAUCACUGGGCUUAAAGCGCGUGUAGGCGGGCCGCCACGUCGGCUGCUGAAAUCCCCCGGCUCAACCGGGGAACGGGCACCGAUACGAGCGGCCUCGAGGGGGGUAGGGGGGUCUGGAACUUCCGGUGGAGCGGUGAAAUGCGUUGAGAUCGGAAGGAACGCCCGUGGCGAAAGCGAGGCCCUGGACCCUUUCUGACGCUGAGACGCGAAAGCCAGGGGAGCGAACGGGAUUAGAUACCCGGGUAGUCCCUGUCUCUUAUA